GACGAACGCUGGCGGCGUGCUUAACACAUGCAAGUCGAACGGAAAGGCCCUGCUUUUGUGGGGUGCUCGAGUGGCGAACGGGUGAGUAACACGUGAGUAACCUGCCCUUGACUUUGGGAUAACUUCAGGAAACUGGGGCUAAUACCGGAUAGGAGCUCCUGCUGCAUGGUGGGGGUUGGAAAGUUUCGGCGGUUGGGGAUGGACUCGCGGCUUAUCAGCUUGUUGGUGGGGUAGUGGCUUACCAAGGCUUUGACGGGUAGCCGGCCUGAGAGGGUGACCGGCCACAUUGGGACUGAGAUACGGCCCAGACUCCUACGGGAGGUAGCAGUGGGGAAUAUUGCACAAUGGGCGGAAGCCUGAUGCACCAACGCCGCGUGCGGGAUGACGGCCUUCGGGUUGUAAACCGCUUUCGCCUGUGACGAAGCGUGAGUGACGGUAAUGGGUAAAGAAGCACCGGCUAACUACGUG
rnacentral:rRNA from 1 species